GACGAACGCUGGCGGCAUGCCUAAUACAUGCAAGUCGAGCGAACAGAUGAAGUGCUUGCACUUCUGACGUUAGCGGCGAACGGGUGAGUAACACGUAAGGAAUCUACCUAUAAGCGGGGGAUAACAUUCGGAAACGGGUGCUAGUACCGCAUAAUAUCUUCUUCCGCAUGGAAGAAGAUUGAAAGACGGCUCUGCUGUCACUUGUAGAUGACCUUGCGGUGCAUUAGUUAGUUGGUGGGGUAACGGCCUACCAAGACGAUGAUGCAUAGCCGACCUGAGAGGGUGAUCGGCCACAUUGGGACUGAGACACGGCCCAAACGCCUACGGGAGGCAGCAGUAGGGAAUCUUCCGCAAUGGGCGAAAGCCUGACGGAGCAAUGCCGCGUGAGUGAAGAAGGCCUUCGGGUCGUAAAACUCUGUUAUAAGAGAAGAACAAAUUGUAGAGUAACUGCUACAGUCUUGACGGUAUCUUAUCAGAAAGCCACGGCUAACUACGUGCCAGCCGCCGCCGUAA
rnacentral:rRNA from 1 species